AGCAGCAGAGCUCAUUUCCUCUUCCAGCCCAUAAAUAGAAACAGGUGGGCAAGGUCAGGACACUCAUUUUAGAAAUGUGAACGAUGUGGGGUGAGAUUUUCCACACCGCUCAAGCAGUUCUGUGCAUUUAACCUCAGAGCAUUAAGUACGGGCUGGGACUCCCUCCGUGAGGAGUUAUGGCACAUAGGGUGCUGGAGCAGCACUGGAGCUUUGUGACUGACCGAACACACAUCAAGUCCCCAUUGGGCCAGGAACUGUGAUAACAUCUGGGUUCCAUCCAGGCAGGACUUAUGAUAUCAGCCUUUCACCAGAACCAGAAAGGAACCCUGUGGGACCCUGCAAGGAACAUCCUUCAGAGUGAGAAAUUCUCAUUUACGAGCAACAUUAAAUCCGCUCAGUACAAGAUCUUUUGACUUUGCACUUCUCAUUUAUUUUCCACAGUGUCAUGUGCAGUGAAGUCACAUGUCUUACAAAACCCUAAAUGUGUUGUGUCAUCACAUUUACCCUUAACAAACCUGAGAUCUGCUCAGGAAGCAAUAACAGGUUUGUUAUCUGUAGGGAACCUCCAGCUUUUAAGGGAAGGAUGAAGAGUUCAAGAAAAAGAUAUUGUGUUGCUUGUAAAAGAGAAAAAAAAGUAGAGGCAGGAAAUCUGUUAGACAUAAGAGGAGUAUAUCUGUACUCAUUUCAUAAAGAUAUGAAUUAAGGAUUGGAACUGACUAUUACUCUAAAUUGAUUGCAUCUGGUAAGCAUUAACUGAGUACACAUUUCUGAACUGUUUGCUGUUUUUUUGAUCCCACUGGGUAGUCAGCUUCUGAUAUUUCCACUGAGCCAUGUUUAAUCAUGUUUAACAAUAUCUUAGUGAUAAGAGUUGGUGGCAUUAUAGCUUCCAGUCUUUGAUGCAUAUGAUUAUAUUACCUUCUUCGUCAGUGAAUGCAAAAAUCCUCUGGUAACUUGCACUACUGACGUUCGAGGAAGUCAGGGCUGUUAUUGUUUCAGUGUUCAGCAUGCUGCCACUUCAUUGCUUUGAUCCAUGGCCUUAUGUGGCUUUUCAAAGUGGAGGGGGUUGGGGGAGAAGGGUUACUGGGCUUGUAAACAUUUCUAUUACAUCAGAGUAGUUUUUCCGCCAUAUACAAUCUGCUGGUGUGACUCAGAUGUUCACAUUUCAUAAAGUCAGCUAUGUCUACAGGGACUACAAACAUUCUGAGGGAUUCUAGAUAAAUGUGAAUUUUUAUUCUUAUGUGAGUUUUAUUCUUAUCUUAA